GGGCCCGCACAAGCGGAGGAACAUGUGGUUUAAUUCGAUGAUACGCGAGGAACCUUACCCGGGCUUGAAAUGCAUCUGACCGGCCUUGAAAGAGGCUUUCCCUUCGGGGCAGAUGUGUAGGUGCUGCAUGGUUGUCGUCAGCUCGUGCCGUGAGGUGUCGGCUUAAGUGCCAUAACGAGCGCAACCCUCAUCAUUAGUUACCAUCAGGUCAAGCUGGGGACUCUAAUGAGACUGCCAUCGUAAGAUGUGAGGAAGGUGGGGAUGACGUCAAAUCAGCACGGCCCUUACGUCCGGGGCGACACACGUGUUACAAUGGGUGGUACAAAGGGCAGCUACAUGGCGACAUGAUGCUAAUCUCCAAAACCACUCUCAGUUCGGAUCGGAGUCUGCAACUCGACUCCGUGAAGCUGGAUUCGCUAGUAAUCGCGCAUCAGCCACGGCGCGGUGAAUACGUUCCCGGGCCUU
rnacentral:rRNA from 1 species